rnacentral:rRNA from 1 species
AUUGAACGCUGGCGGCAGGCCUAACACAUGCAAGUCGAGCGGAUGAAGGGAGCUUGCUCCUGGAUUCAGCGGCGGACGGGUGAGUAAUGCCUAGGAAUCUGCCUGGUAGUGGGGGAUAACGUCCGGAAACGGGCGCUAAUACCGCAUACGUCCUGAGGGAGAAAGUGGGGGAUCUUCGGACCUCACGCUAUCAGAUGAGCCUAGGUCGGAUUAGCUAGUUGGUGGGGUAAAGGCCUACCAAGGCGACGAUCCGUAACUGGUCUGAGAGGAUGAUCAGUCACACUGGAACUGAGACACGGUACAGACUCCUACGGGAGGCAGCAGUGGCGAAUAGUGGACGAUGGGCGGAAGCCUGAUCCAGCCAUGGCGCGUGUGUGAAGAAGCUCUUCGGAUUGUAAAGCACUUUACGUUGGGAAGAAGGGCAGUAAGUUAAUACCUGGCUGUUUGGACGUUACCAACAGAAUAAGCACCGGCUAACUUCGU